UAUGAAAUUUGCCCUAAGUUUGUCUUUUGCAUGUAUUUGUAUGCUGUUUUUAAUAAUCAGGAAUGAGAGAAUCAAGAUGAAGAAAAUAUUUUGAAGUGGUCUCUGGAUGUUUCUGCUCUUCAGCUGCUCAUGGAGAGUUUGUAAGGCUCUUGUGAAACCACGUAGAAGCCAAACUGAUGGCGUGUUGUUCCACAAAGCACGGCAUGGGAUCUUCUAAGGAGACCUGCAUGUAAGAAGAAUGAAGCUUCCUGAUCUUUACCUUCACUUCAACUAAUGUCUAAAACAAACAAACAAAAACAACCACCACAAAAAUGGAGUGAUCUCCUUUGCACUCUUCUUUUCACUUCUGCUGCCUGGGGGAGAUGAGACCAGCCUGCUGCUGGUACAUUGGGAGAAGGAUCCAUCUUGCCUUUUGCUGCAAUCUCCCUAAAGCAUCUCCACACCUGUACUAUUCUGCAGCAGAAAUAUGGUUCACUGAGUUGUUUUGCAUCACUCAGAAAUGGGAUCAGACUUUACUGUCCAGCAGAGAAUUGAACCUUGAGUGGAAUGGCAAUUACCUUAACUUGUAAGUUAUGGCUUUCUGCUGUCAUCUACACUACUGAGUAACUCAGUGCAAGAAGGAGAUGAUGUUCGUGCUGGGGAUGAAAGCUUCACACUGAGCAUUUUGGAGGUAUUCUUACCCCUUGGGCAGAAGCCCAUUAAUGCCUGGAGUGCCUGAGUUGACCUCUGGAGUACACUUUCCACAUCAGCUUCAUCCAAAAAUCAGCAUGUUUGUGCCCUCUGAGUUUGCUCUGUGUUGUGAACUGAGGUGUGGUGAGUACGGUUAGAAAACUUCCUUCUGAAGUUCCCAGACCCAACUAAAAUACUAGUAUAAACUCUCCCAUGGCCUUUUACAAUAUGGUAGCAAUGUAAUAAUUGCAAGCUACUACCCUCAGGGAGAUCAAAGUCCCUGUAUUUCAAGGUGGUGCCUGAUGUACUCAAGCAUAAGAGCAAAAUCUUCCAUAUUUAUGUGAGCUAAGAGAACCAGGAGGUGAACCCAAAUGAGUCUGAAACUGAUGAAAAGUAUUUGCCAGUAAGGCCAGCUCUUAAUUUAUUCUGUACUCAUCUUCCAAAAGGGAAAGAAAUACCUUUCUCAAAUUCUUGAUGAAACAUGAGAGCUUGCUUGUUCUUAACCUGUAGGAAGAAAGAGCCAAAGGUGUUAUUUCAGAAGCACUGACUGAGAAGCUUUGUAGUGCAAAGUCUUUCAUUGUGCCUACCUGGACUGAAAAAAAAAUUCAAUGCGAACUGAAUACCAUUGAUUUUCAUUUACUUUAGGGAGAGGUGUUUAGCUUUUAUUUCUGAAAUACUCAUGGCCUACAUUUGAAAACUCAGUGGUUAAUUUUAAGGAUGUUAAAUCUGCUAAAAUGAGUGCUCGCAUAACACCUGCCCUUCUGGAAGCUAGUAAGUUAAACAGCAUUGCUUGUGGACUAAAGAAAAUAUGGUCGGGGUGAUAAACAGAGCUAUAGGUAGAUCUAUUGGGAAAGAAAUGUAAUUGGAUUCUUGGGUAUCUGAAUGGUUGGGGCACUUCCCUUUCUGCCCCACGGCAAAAAGGCCCCAAUCCAGUGGAGCACUUAACCGUGAGCCGUGCCUCGGAGAUCAAUGGUGCUACUUACGGCCUGUAAAACCAGGCACGUGGUUAAGUGCUUUAUUGGGUCAGAGCCAGACCGAAUAACACAUACAUAACACUGCAUUCAGAUUCACUAUAUUCAAUUCUCAGAUCUGUAUUGAUCUGAAUUUUGAAGCCUUCACUGAAUUAACUUUUAAAGUAAAUUUUCUUUUUUAUAAACACAAAAUGAAUUUGAUGUAGUUGCCCCUUUCACUCGGAGAUCUGAAAAUACUUUAAAAAAUAUGAAUGUAUUGAUCUUUCACUAUGGGGAGAGUGAGUAGUAGCAACCCAUAAAACAGAUGAGGAAUCUGAAAGUAGAAGAGUGAAGAAAAAUCCACAACAACUGAAUAGAAUUGGAAAACAAAUUUGUCUUGAUUGUAUUCCCAUCUGCUUUGGGUUCGGUUUCAUCAGCUUUCUUGAAAGGGAGCUUCUGUCAGGAAAGUAUAUGAAAGCACUUUUUUUUGUAGAUAUUUAAGAGCAGUUGCAGAAGUGUUUUUUUAACCUAGCUUCUCAUUUAUGGGCUUAUGUAUGCCUGUUCUUUUUUACAUACUAUGAAAAUAGUAUGGAUUUGUACAGAAUAGGUACUUUUUUGUUCACAGUUGUUAUCAAAGGAAGUUUUUAAGAAGAGGCAGAAAACCACUGAAAUACUGUUCGCAUGUUAACUUGUGGAACUCAUUGUCCAUGGAUAGCAUUUCAAUAAUGUGGCAAAGACUGUUAGAAUUGCUUGUUAUGUGUGCAAAGAACAGCUGCAGCAACUUUAAAUAGGAUGACAGUAUAUAGGAAGAAGAGCAAUAAUGCUAUAACCAUUAAGCAUUGGGCAUAGGAAGAAGAUUCUCUCAUAAUCAAGUUAUUGCAUAAUUCUCUGUUAUGGGAGUUUCACACCUUCCUCUGAAACAUCUGGUGCUAGAAAUGCAAUAAAAUACUAAAUGAAUUUCUGACCUGAUGUGACAUGACAAUCAAUAAAGUUCUUUUAUUAGCUAACUCUACUUUUAAGAACUUGUCAGAGUAACAGCACACAGCUUUGCGGAAUGCCAACUUGUGAUCAAACAUUCAAUUUCUUUAAAAACUGAAUCUUUCCUUCCUUAUUGUACACUUUCUCAAGUCUGGGGAGAUUAUCCCAGCAUCCUGCACCAUCUGCCACUAGAGAAAACGUGGGUUCUUGUGGGUUGUUUAAAACCUUAUGUUUGCUGUGUGGAAAAAAAUGUAGUGGUACAAAGCAGCUGAGAUGCAACCAAAACUGCUUUAGGCAGAGUAGCCAAUCCAUGGUACAUCUGCAGGGACUUCACCCAUGCUCCUUCCUUUCAUGCACUGCUCUUCUCUGCUACCCCACAGUCUUGCAGUCCCUUCUAGUAUUAGAUAUUAAAAUAUUCCUAAACUUUUGAUCGAUAUUCCAGUGUUUUCACUCUGGGAAUGCAGUGUGCAUCAGGUUACAAAGUCAGAAACUACUACACAUACAUCAGGCACAUGUCCAGUGCCUGCUAAGCAAUGCCUGAAUUUUUGGCAUAGGAUUGAUUGCAUGGUGUGGAAGCUUUGCAGCUCCUUAAACUGCUUUGGGCUCUCACCCUAUGGAAACAUGGGACCCUGCUGGUGUAGCUGGGCCCAAGAGAAGUUGAUGCUGCUGGAGAAAAGGCUGAGGCAUCCUGAAAUGACCUUGCAGGUCUUGUGGACAGCUCAGGAUGGGAAUUUAAGGGCACUUCUGUAAGCACUAUAUCACAGUGAGGUCUCAUUACAGUCAAAUGCAAGCCAUGUGUUUUUUUUCCAGUGAGGGCAAAUUUAUUCCAAUUGUGAGUACUUGAAAAUACCUAACUCUGAAAUGAUGCCCCUGGUGAGAAACCCUGAGGAGUGCAGCACUGUGAAUGAUUCCCACACUCCUUCAAAAUGAAGCCGUGCUGUAAAGCAAUGCAUUUUGAUAGCAUAGCGUACAUCUCUCAGAGCAGCCUGAAUGAUUUUUCCCAAAGAGUGCAGCAAAGUGUUGGUAUGAUAGCUCUGCGGUUUUGAAAUACAAACACUUUUAAGGUACACCAAGAGUGUUGAAUCACAUGUGAAUGUAUGUAUAUGAUUAAAGGAAAUAGACCUAUGCAUCAAUAGGAUUUAUUUUGAGCUGGGCAGCACAGAAAGCUCAAUGCAGUUUUUAACAGUCAUAUUUUCAUGCAAAUGAACUGUAGCCAGUCUGAAGAUAUUCCAGGAAUCCCAAAUUUUAUGUACCACCUCUGAAGUCUUCCUCAUAUAGAACAUUAUUUAAUUUGUCAUUGAUUAGUAAGUUGCUUUGUGAAAGCCAGCAAAUGAUCUGGGGUGAAUUGACGAGCACAAAGAUUAUUCUUCUGGAAAUGAAUUGAAAUUCUUACUGCUGAGUAAUUUCCAUGAAAAUAGAACAGCCUUUGUAGCUUUUAUUUUAAAAUAAGAAUAAAUGAUGCCAAAAGGCAGCAAAUAAAGGAGAUGAAAAAUCCUAGAUAAAAGACAUAGGCAAGAAAAUCUCAACUUGUAUGUCUGUCACAGCAAGCUACAAAGCUCUUGCAAGUAACUAUGUGAAACUUGAAUUGAUUUAGGACAAUUUAGAAGAUACGACUAAGUGUAAAUCGCUUCUCAUUGCAUCUCCUGGA